CUGCCUUAAAGCUAGCCUCAACAAUCAAGACCUUUUAUUAAGAUCCUAAUAACUUAAAUAAACUUAACCAAACCAUUUUCACUCCGAGUAUAGGUGAUAGAAACGAAAAAAGAGCAAUAGAUAUAGUACCGCAAGGGAACACUGAAAAAGAAAUGAAACAACCCAUUAAAGCUUAAAACAGCAGAGCUAAUCCCUCGUACCUUUUGCAUCAUGAUUUAGCAAGCAACUCUCAGGCAAAGAGCUCUUUAGUCUGACACCCCGAAACUGAGCGAGCUACUCCAAGACAGCCUAUAUUAGGGCAAACCCGUCCCUGUGGCAAAAGGGUGGGAAGAGCUUUGAGUAGAGGUGAUAAACCUACCGAGCCCAGUUAUAGCUGGUUGCCUGGGAAAUGAAUAAAAGUUCAGCCCUACUAAUCCUUCCCCCCUCACAUAUGAUUACACUAUAAUGAUCAAGGAAAAUUAGAGGAGUUAAUUGAAGGGGGUACAGCUCCUUCAAUAAAUGAUACAACUUUAACAGGUGGCUCAAGAUCAUAUUAAUUAAGGACAAUAAACUAAGUGGGCCUAAAAGCAGCCACCUUAACAGAAAGCGUUAAAGCUCAAGUCUAAAAACCCGUCCUUGUAUCCUGAUAAAUAAAUCUCCAUCCCUGUCCUCUUACCAGGCUGUUUUAUGCCCCCAUAAAAACAACUAUGCUAAAACGAGUAAUAAGAAGAAAUUAAACUUCUCCUUGCACACGUGUAAGUCGGAACGGACCAACCACCGACCAUUAAAUCGACCCCAAACCAAAGAGGGUAAUGAGUCAAUACUAUACAAGUAAUCCACUCAACUUACCAGUCGUUAACCCUACACAGGUGUGCCUCCAGGAAAGACUAAAAGAAGGGGAAGGAACUCGGCAAACCAAUAUAAAGCCUCGCCUGUUUACCAAAAACAUCGCCUCUUGAUCUCUAAACAUAAGAGGUCCCGCCUGCCCUGUGACUAUAAGUUUAACGGCCGCGGUAUCUUAACCGUGCAAAGGUAGCGCAAUCACUUGUCUUUUAAAUGAAGACCUGUAUGAAUGGCAUAACGAGGGCUUAGCUGUCUCCCCCCUCCAGUCAAUGAAACUGACCUCCCCGUGCAGAGGCGGGGAUUAUUACAUAAGACGAGAAGACCCUGUGGAGCUUUAGACCUAAAGUAGUGCAUGUCUAAAAUACUAGAAAAUAAGAAAAAACCCAAUGCCCCCUACUGAAGUGUCUUUGGUUGGGGCGACCGCGGGGUAAAACAAAACCCCCAUGUAGACCGGGGAAACAUCCCUAAAACCCAGAGCAACCACUCUAAGAAACAAAACCUUUGACUUUUUCUGAUCCGGCAUAGCCGAUCAACGAACCGAGUUACCCCAGGGAUAACAGCGCAAUCCUCUCUCAGAGCCCAUAUCGACGAGGGGGUUUACGACCUCGAUGUUGGAUCAGGACAUCCUAAUGGUGCAGCCGCUAUUAAGGGUUCGUUUGUUCAACGAUUAAAGUCCUACGUGAUCUGAGUUCAGACCGGAGUAAUCCAGGUCAGUUUCUAUCUAUGAUAAGCCCUUUUCCAGUACGAAAGGACCGAAUUCUAAAGGGGGGCCUAUACUAACAGCACGCCCCUCCCCCUCCCGCUGACAUCAUAUAAAGCGGAUAAGGGGGCUUAACCCUUACCCAAAAAUAAUGGAAU
rnacentral:rRNA from 1 species